GCCGGGUUAGCUCAGCUGGUUAGAGCAUGGUGCUAAUAACACCAAGUUCACAGGUUCAAUCCCUGCUUACUGCA
rfam:Pelecanus crispus contig44879, whole genome shotgun sequence.